rnacentral:rRNA from 1 species
UACGUAGGGGGCAAGCGUUGUCCGGAAUCAUUGGGCGUAAAGAGCGUGUAGGCGGCCCGAUAAGUCCGCUGUGAAAGUCCAGGGCUCAACCCUGGGAUGCCGGUGGAUACUGUCGGGCUCGAGUCCGGAAGAGGAGUGUGGAAUUCCUGGUGUAGCGGUGAAAUGCGCAGAUAUCAGGAGGAACACCAAUGGCGAAGGCAGCACUCUGGGACGUGACUGACGCUGAGGCACGAAAGCGUGGGUAGCAAACAGG